UCCACGCAGUAAACGGUGAUCACUAGGUGUUGCGGGUGUUGACCCCUGCAGUGCCGGAGUUAACGCAUUAAGUGAUCCGCCUGGGGAGUACGGUCGCAAGAUUAAAACUCAAAGGAAUUGACGGGGGCCCGCACAAGCGGUGGAGCAUGUGGUUUAAUUCGACGCAACGCGAAGAACCUUACCUGGGCUUGACAUUGAUAGAACCCUUUGGAAACUUAGGGGUGCCCCUGGGG
rnacentral:rRNA from 1 species